ACGGGAGGCAGCAGUGGGAAUAUUGCACAAUGGGGGAAACCCUGAUGCAGCGACGCCGCGUGAGCGAUGAAGUGUUUCGGUAUGUAAAGCUCUAUCAGCAGGGAAGAUAAUGACGGUACCUGACUAAGAAGCCCCGGCUAACUACGUGCCAGCAGCCGCGGUAAUACGUAGGGGGCAGGCGUUAUCCGGAUUUACUGGGUGUAAAGGGAGCGCAGGCGGUUUUUUAAGUCUGAUGUGAAAGCCCGCGGCUCAACUGCGGGACUGCAUUGGAAACUGGAGAACUAGAGUGUCGGAGGGGCAAGUGGAAUUCCUAGUGUAGCGGUGAAAUGCGUAGAUAUUAGGAGGAACACCAGUGGCGAAGGCGGCUUACUGGACUGUAACUGACGUUGAGGCUCGAAAGCGUGGGGAGCAAACAGGAUUAGAUACCCUGGUA
rnacentral:rRNA from 1 species